UUUUAUGUGAAUAUGAAAGACCCCCGGAGUGGGGAGACCCUCACUCAAGUCUCGGGAUGAUGCGACCCCCCAAGAACUCACGUGAGACC
rnacentral:pre_miRNA from 14 species